rnacentral:rRNA from 1 species
AUGACGCUGCGGGAGAAGGCGGGGCAGAUGGCCCAGAUCGAGCUCCUGCUGGGCCGCAUGACGCUGCGGGAGAAGGCGGGGCAGAUGGCCCAGAUCGAGCUCUCCGUGGCGUCGCCCCGCGCCCUCGUGGAGCUCGGCGUCGGCAGCCUCCUCAACGGCGGCGGCAGGCCGCCCUUCGACGGCGCCUCCGCGUCCGACUGGGCCGGCGUGGUCGACGGCAUGCAGCGCCUCGCCCUCUCGUCCCGCCUCGCCGUCCCAUCAUCUACGGCAUCGACGCCGUCCACGGCAACAACAACGUCAUCGGCGUCACCAUCUUCCCCCACAACGUCGGCCUCGGAGCCUCCAGGGAUCCCGAGCUUGUGCGGAAGAUCGGCGAGGCGACGGCGCUCGAGGUUCGCGCCACCGGCAUGCACUGGACCUUCGCCCCCUGCGUCGCUGUUUGUAGGGAUUCGAGGUGGGGGAGAUGCUACGAGAGCUACAGCGAGGACCCAGACAUCGUGCGCUCCUUCACCACCAUCGUCACCGGUCUGCAGGGCCAGCCACCGGCAGACCACCCUCAUGGCUACCCGUUUCUUCAUUCGGUUAGAAAUGGGUCCCUCCCUUGUGAUACGAAGGGAGAAUGUGCUUGCGUGUGCCAAGCAUUACGUAGGGGAUGGUGGCACUCACAAGGGGGUCAAUGAAGGGAACACCAUUUGCUCUCAAGACGAUUUGGAAAGGAUCCACAUGAAACCUUACCCUGAUUGUAUAAGUCAAGGGGUGGCAACGAUCAUGGCAUCCUUCUCUCAAUGGAAUGGGGAGCCAUUACAUGCCAGCCACCAUUUGCUCACGGAAGUUUUAAAGGACAAGUUAAGCUUCCAGGGUUUUGUGGUGUCGGACUGGGAAGGUAUUGACCAUCUUUGCGAGCCUCGAGGGUCUGAUUAUCGACACUGCAUUGCACAAGCAGUUAAUGCUGGAAUGGAUAUGGUUAUGAUACCUUUCAGAUUUGAGAAAUUCUUGGAAGAUCUUGUGUUCUUGGUGGUGGAGACGGGGGAGAUACCUUUGUCACGGAUCGAUGACGCCGUUGAGCGGAUUCUAAGAGUUAAGUUCGUAUCUGGAGUUUUUGAGCAUCCAUUUUCAGAUCCAGCUCUACUCGAUGUAAUUGGUUGCAAGGAGCAUCGUCUGCUAGCACGUGAGGCUGUUCGAAAGUCUUUGGUACUUCUGAAAAAUGGCAAGAAUCGGAAGGAACCAUUCCUUCCCUUAGCCAAAAAUGCAAAAAGAAUACUCAUCGCAGGGACACAUGCUGACAAUAUUGGAUACCAGUGCGGUGGGUGGACAAUAUCUUGGCAUGGUGAUAGUGGAAAGAUUACUCCUGGUACAAACAUAUUAGAGGCCAUACAACAAUCUGUGGAAGUGGAAACUGAAGUUGUGUAUGAUGAAUGCCCAAUAGAUGCUACCAUUGAAGCAGGCAAAUUUUCCUAUGCAGUUGUUGUAGUUGGUGAGGUACCCUAUGCAGAAAGCUUGGGGGAUAGAACCGACCUUAGUAUUCCAUUCAAUGGUUCCGAUCUUAUUACUCGUGUUGCCAGUAAAGUCCCUACCCUAGUGAUUGUUAUUUCUGGAAGGCCCUUGGUUAUUGAGCCGCAAGUACUUGAGAAAGUAGAUGCUCUAGUUGCCACUUGGCUGCCUGGAAGUGAGGGCAUGGGAGUUGCUGAUUGCCUCUUCGGAGACCAUGAUUUUGUGGGCACGUUGCCUGUAACUUGGUUUAGAUAUGAUGAGCAGCCGCCUAUAAAUAUUGGAGGUGCUAACUAUGAUCCAUUAUUUCCUUUUGGAUAUGGGCUGAAAUGUUCAAAAGCCAUUGAGAUUUAG